AAUGUUUCCCAAGAAUUAGUUUUUCAUUUUAUUGCUUUUCUCUAUUGUUUGUCUAUUUUCCAUUUCAUUGAUUUUACUUUUAUCUUUAUGGUUUCCUCCUUUCUGUUUAAUUUGCUCAACUUUCUCUAGUAUCUUGGGGAGUAUGGAAUGACAUGGAAGUGUAACAAAUUGUGGGUUUUUUUUUUUUCGCUUAAACAACAGAAAUUUACUUCUCACAGUUCCAGGCACUAGAAGUCAAAGAUUAAAGUAUCAGUAGGUUAAAGUGGGCCUUAAUUCAAAAAUCCUGGUGUCCUUGUAAGUAAAUAUGCUUUAUGUAUUGGUAGGGGCAUAAAAAUUCUGAAAUAAUUUUAGAGUUUUUCAAGAGUAAGCAAAUGAGUCAAUGUUUUGGUGUAGUUUGGAGCCAGCUGAAGAAAAGACAUUUGAAUAUUGAAUGUAGAAAGAGUCUUGUGGCAUUGAAUUGUAACUGGAGGUAGUGAUAUGACUUAUGAUUUCAAAACUGUGUAUUCCUAUUUGUACCUGUAUAUAUGAGUAGGCAUGUAUGUGUGUGUGGAUUUGUACAUAUUAUAUGUACAUACAUAUUUUUAGCUCUGUUCAAUAGAAGGGCUAAGAAUCAAUUGCAUUUCCGUAGCUGUAAGGAUAACUUGUGGUUGAAUUUUACCAUUUUAUAUUCUUCCCUUUUAAAAGUAGAGAAGAAGUGAUACCUUGGAGAAAUGACUGACUUCAGUUCUGGUCAGAGUAGAUACAAGGUGAACCUGUUAUCUCUUGUUAGUUAUGCCAAAAAAAUUAGGAAGAGCAAAAAUAAAUAAAUAAAGAAAUGAUAAUGGUGUGUCUUAAUUACAUAGAACAAGGUUUGAAGAGAUUUCCACUGGUUAAAUAUGGUACAAUCUGAGCACCAAAAUAGGCACAGUAAUGAAUAUAAACUAUUGAAAAUAUAGGAAUUCACAAACCCAUGUAGAUAAUAAAACAAUAAAAAUAAAUAAGUACAUAAAUAAAUGGUGAUAGGAGAGUGAUUUUUUUGGCUUUCUCUUGCAUACAGUAAGAUACUGAGGCCCAAUUAAAUAUGUAGGGAAUGCUGGCAUUGAAAAAAAUCCAGAAUUUUAGCAUCAGCGUAAAUAAAGAUUGUGUCAGGCACAAGUUAUUGGUGGAUGCCAAAUCUAGAGGAAAAUUUUGAUGAUUGGCACAUUAUUUACAUGUUCUCAAAGUGUCUCCUAACAGAUUGCUUAUUAGUUAUAAGGGAAAAAAUAGUAAUUUUACAUUGGUGAAAGUGAACAAUACCUUGACUGUGUAGUUGAAAUUAAUAUCGCCAGUGAGGAGCACAUGGACACCCGUUGUCCCCAGAUUUGAUUCUCUGAUAAGGACCCAACAUCACUUGUGUGAGUAUUCCAGCUAGCAAUGCAUGAUUUAACUGGAUUGAAUCAUAAGGAAACAUUAGACAAACCCCAAAUCAGGAGAGGUCUAUUUUUAAAAGGCAGUAAGGUUGUGUGUGUGUGUGUGUGUGUGUGUGUGUGUGUGUGUUGUACUCUUCAAAAGUGUCAAUGUCUUAAAAAACAAAGACAGACUGUAGAAGUGUUCCAAGUUAAAGGAGACUAAAGGGAUAUGCAAUAACAGACACCAUACAAACAAGAUCCUGUCCUGGAGAAAAAAUGGCUAUAAAGGACAUUAUUAGGUCAAUUAAUAAAACUGGAAUAUGAGCAGUUAAUUAGAUACAAGUAUUGUAUAAAUGUUAAAUUUACUGAAGUUGAUGACUGUACUAUGGUUGUGUUCUAGAAUAUUCCUAUUCUUAGGUAAUGCACACUGAAGUAUUUAGCGGUAAAUGGCCAUGGCAUAAGUAAAUUAUUUCUAGAUGGUUCAGAAAAAGUACAAAAACUGUAUAUAUACAUAUGUAUAUAUGGGGAGAGAGAGAGAGACAGAGAGAGUGAGUGCAUGUAGAUGUGCAAGAAUAAGAAAACAACAAUGAAAAUGAUAAAUAGGAUAAAAUGUUGACAAUAAAUGAAUCUGGGUAUUCUUGGCAAUAUUCUUGCAACUUUUCUGUAAGUUUGAAGUUAUUUCUAAAUUAGAUGUUAAAACAUUAAGAUUGUGCCUGAGAACUCCAGUAUUACAUUCCCCUGUGGGUCCAGUUCUGUGGUCUACUUUUUUUGUUUGUUUGUUUGUUUUGUUUUUUGCUAAUCAUGCUUUGGCAGUUACCUUGUCUCCUUGUGUGUGUAGGUAUUUUUCAUUAUGUGUCAGACAUUGUGUUUUCAGAAAUGUUUGUGGAAAUAAUUUGAGUCCUUAGAUGAAGGCACUUUUCUCCAGAGAUAAUGUAUGAAUAUCAUGAAUAGUUUACUUUUUCAUGUGCCCAGGGGCACUAGCAUUCCAGGAUAUCAGGGACAACUCAGAUCACUUUAAUUCAUGUUCAGGGACUGACUGUUCACUUCUGAUUCACUCUUAUUCCCAAGGUGUGGUUCUAUGGGGUUCCCAGACAAAUUAAAGUGUGUUGGGGGAAGGACGUUGAAAGAUUUGUGAGGCUUCUUCCACUUUGUGGGCUCUGGAUUGUGGUGUCUGUUUUAGGUGUGUGAGGUUGUCGAAAGUUCUUAGCCUCUUAGCUGACCCCUCUCUGGUAUUGGCAAAUGCUCACAGAAGAAAAGAGACCCCCAGUUCUGGGCUCAUCUUCAUGCACCUCUCUCAUCCCCUGGAUUCCAACUGUGUAAUUUUUUACCUUUAAAAAAUUUUUUUGAUGUCUGCUGUAAAUCAUAUUUAUAUUUUGACUAGUUUCUCUUGUUGUCCCCAGCAGGAGAAUUUCUUGGGAUCACUGAGACUGGCAUUACUGAAAGCAAAAGUAUCCCAACUUGAUUCUUUUAACUGCUGUAAAGUGUUUGAUAAUAGGGCUAUAUCAUGGUUUACUUAGCCAUUCUUACAUUGACAGACAUUUAGUUUAUUUCCAAAUUUGUACUGUUUCUAAUAAUGAUGGGUUAAUCAUACUUGUGUAUGUCUCCCUGUGUAUAUGUAAAAGUACUUUUCUAGCUAUCAGGAAAUGGAAAUGCUAGGUUAUAGCUAUUGAACAUUUUAAAUGGUAGUGGAAGCAGCCACAGUUUUCCAAAAUGAUGGUAGUAUUAUAUACUCUACCAGCGAUGCAUAGGAGUUCUCAUUUUUCCACAGUCUCCUCAGUGCUUGACAUAAAAUCUUUGAAAUGUAGCCAAUGUGAUGAGUGACAAAAAUAUCCCCUUAUUGUUCUAAUUUUCAUUUUGGUGACUGAUAAUAACAUUGAACAUCUUUUCAUAUGUUUAUUGACCAUUUGUAUUUCCUUUUCUGUGAAAUCCCUUUUCAUGUCAUUUGCCUACUAGUUGAUUUUUCAUUAUUGAUUUAUACAUAUUCAUUAUGUAUUUUGGAUAGUAAUUCUUUUAAAUUUAUGUAUCAAAUAUUAUCUUUAGUUUGUCACUUCCCUUCACAGUUUCAUGGGGUCUUUUGCCUUAUGUUGUAAGUAUUGUGGUAGCUUAAUUAUCAAUCUUAUAUUCUGUAGCUUUGCCCUUUAUCUCUUACACUAAAAUCUCAAGCCUUGUCUCAAAUAAUCCUGUUUGUUUUUUGCAUCUCAGUAAAACACAGAUACACACACACACACACACAAUCCAACACUUAAAUUUUUUUCAUUCACUCACAUUCUGUGGGCUUUCAUUGCUUGUAUUUUACUUUCAAAUUUUAUAGUAUGAAUUUUAAAUGAGAGCAUUUGGUGACCUUUUUGUAGAUUGCAAAAGGAGUUGCCUUUUUCCAUCAUAUCUCUUCUUUUUCCUUCUAGUUUUUUUCUCUAGUGAGAAAAAUGAUGAUAAUAAGUGUCAGCAUGGAAUGGUGAUGGAUGCUGGGCCAAGUGUCGGAGGAAAAUGGAUCGCGGUGUGUCUGUGCAUGCACAAACAUUUUGUCGCUUUGGGCCUUACUUUUGUCGACCUCAAAGCAAGAGCAUUAACUUACAAUUAAUUACACUUAAAUUACACUUUGCGACCUCUUCUAGGUCCCAUAUGUUUAUAAUAUUAUCAUGAUGAAAUGUAAUCAUUGAAAAGAUUUGUAUCAUUAUUGCCUAAGACCUUUGACUUGAAAGUAAAUUAUAUGUGGAAAACCAAGUGCAAAAAAAAAAAAAUCACUGAAAACCUUCUUUAGCAUAGUUAUUUCCUAAAUGCCAAUUACAAUAGAUUAGUCUGUUUAGAGAUGCUCCAUGAAACAACAGUGUAAAGGAUAGGUGAUCCAGUAAGUGUGAGAGCUGCUUCAUAGUGCAUUCCUCUAUUCAUAUUCCAUUCUUGGAGAUUUCCAAAUGCACAUUAGCUUAUUAAACCCUGCCAUUUUGUGGGGGCAGAUGCCUGUCACCAAACCCCAGAGCAUGCAGGAUGCUCAGCCUGGUGUGUACCGACUCUGCUUGUCACCAUGCCACAGCCAAUCACAGUGCCUUUUUGGAUUGUCCUGCCUUGUUAAUUACUGUUUGCGCAGCUUGUCCUAAUCCCUUACCCUAGGAACAGGGCCAGACUCAACAGAAGACAUCUCUUGUCCUUGAUGAAUUUACUAUUGUUUUGCUUCUGCACAUGGCUCUGGAGAGCUGAAUGGAGCUUUCAAGUAGGGCCCGUUUUAACAGAGAUUUCUGGGCUCUGGCUUAGACCCACCUAUGUAGAUGAUGCCCUGUGAUGAAUGCCACGUUUCUGUUUUCAGAAACAGGCAGCAAAGUUAUCAUGAUGACAACUUUACAGUGAAAAAGCACUGCAGCCUGGCUUCGGUCUGGCAUCUAAAAUAAAAUAAUAACCAAAAUAAGGACACUGGCUUUGAAUUUAUUCCACCUUUUCUUCCUGGCUCAAUUUUCCACUGUGAACCUAUACAUGGCAACAGUUAUGCAGAAAGAUGGCAAAAGGAAGUGCCUGCCUACAGCCAGCUGUGUGUGUGUGUGUGUGUGUAUGUGUGUGUGUGUGUGUCUGUGUAUGUGACAUUUCUGGCGAUUCCCAGCAUUUCUUUGCAUGUGAAGGUGAUGAGAAUGAGCACCUGCUCUGUAAUGAAACCAAGUGCUAGCAGAUAGCUUGGCCUCUUCAGUAAUUUAAGGUCUUCAUAUAGGCAUUUGCAAAGACAGAGCUGUGAUAGCAAACAUCUUGCUUAGAACUCAAAAGAGAAAACAUUUCUGUCAUCCAGAAAUCUGCUGCUUUAUCUCUUAGGAAAACAUUUAUAAAUACAGUUUUAGGAGAUAGAAACCAUUCCAUUCUGGAUGAUCCUGUUAGGUUUCUCCAUUUGUUUGCUUUGCAUCUGAGGACUUUCCUAGUUCCUUGGCUGUUUUUCUCUUUAACAAGUGGAUAUGAGGCCUCGUCUGAUGUUUAUUUUCAAUCAUGAUAGAAACUGUGAACUCUCUCUAGGUUAAGAAGUGAAAUUUUAAGUGCUAUGCACUGAUACUUUUUUUGGUCCCUGAGAAGCUAAUAAGAGAACUUUAAAUGUAGAACUUACAAUUCCUGCACUGAAUUGGACUCAUUAAAAACUUAAAAUAUACCUCGCCAUCCAAAGCCCUCAAGCAAUCUGAACAGAAGGUGCUCUAUGUCUUAAAAGAAGAAAUACGCAGUUUGAGUUUACUAGAGUGCAACAAACAACCAUUGACGAUUCAAGGGAAUUCUGGAGUGAUUCCUAAUUGCGGGGUAAGAGAGGGGAGUCUGGAGUGGAGGAGAGGCAACUGCACAUUUCAGGAGAGGGAACAAUGGGGUGGAGGAAAUGAAAGUGGUGGAAGGAGUAAGAAUAAAGACCCGACUAGCGGGAGAGAGAGGAAAGGGAAGGAGAAGAAUGCGGGAUACUGUAAAGAACUAGUGGUGAAUGCUAUCUUGGGAACCGAGGGGCUUAGUGUGAGGCAAGAACAAAGUGCUGAUGAGGAUAAAACCUGGUAUUUAGGGACAUUUGUGGGACUCACAGCCUGUGCUUAGUGACUAAAGUAAAUCGGAUUUGAAAUUCUGCCCAGUCCAGGAAGGCACAGAGGACUUUCCUAAAGAGCUUGAGAGAAAUUUGCAAGGAUAUGUUGGUGACUGGAGAUUUAAAUAAGAAGAAAUACUAGUCAGAGAAAGGAAGUGUGUGUGAUUUGUGUGAUUUUGGUGGGGGCAGUGUCUUUAUUCUUUCUUUACUAUUUUCUGAGUUCCCUGAAAAGGUCGUUGGACCAGAUCAUUUCUAUGCAUUGUUGUCCAGGGAUGGAUUAUCUUCAAGGGGUGGAUUUUUUUUUUUUUUUUUUUUUUAAAGUAAUCCAAAGGUAUGUGUAGUCACUUGUGUGUUUCACUAAUGAUUUGAUCACGCCUCCAGCCCCCUUGUGGUUGGGUGGAGCCAUGUGAUGAUUUCUGGCCAGGGAUUGUAAGUGGAAGUUGUUGCAUUUGUUGCUUUUAUGCCGGAGCGUUUACUUACUGUUGUGGAACUUUCCAGAUCUCUUCCUCAGGGUGAUUCGUCCUGGAGUAAAGAGACAUGGAGUAGACCAGGGACGGGUGCACUUUUUCUGUAAAGGGCCAGAUAGUAAAUAUUUCUGGCUUUGGAAGCCAUGCUCUGUUGCAACUACUCCCUUCCACUGUUACGGCACAGAAGCAGUAAAUGAAUGAGCGUGGCUGUGUUUAAUAACACUUUAGUUACAAAAACAAGUGGCAGGCCGAAUUUGGCCCAUGGGCUGCAGUUUGUGACCCUUGGAGUGGAGCACCCAUCUAAUUCCCGCUGGACAUGUAUCAGCAUAUCCAUGAGAAAUAAACUUUUAUUUUUAAAGCCACUCACAUAAUUAUGUUUGCUACGCAGCACCCCCGAGCCUAUUUGACUGACACAGGGCGAAAAGGAGCCAACUGUGCUUCUGGUUUUAAAAAGGAAGCAGCUUUCCUGGGAAGAUGGCCAGGAUGAAUCCCCAGACCAUUACAGUUAAACCUGCAUUUAUUGAUCACCAGCUGUGUGCCCCUAACUGUGCAUUUUCCCAAAGCUUCCAAAACAGUUCCCAGGGAACAGUCUAAAAACGCCUCCUUGCAUGAAGGAUUCAAGAGGCUGCAGGGGCACUCAGCGUCGGGGCCCUGCCUCUGGGAGUCGGGGUCUAGGGGGGUCAUCCUGCCUCCGCCCUCUGUGGGGCUUUGCCUGCUGAGGAGCCUUCAGCCCUAAAGGGAAGAGGGAGGUGCAGGGUUUUAGUUGUUUUAAAUCUGCCUUGUUACUCUCUUAUAGGUUACUUCUGAGUCCUGGACUGCUCCUGCCUGGCCACCCACCAGGCUACAUUGGGGUCUGCUUAUCCCAGGCCUCCUCCCUACAGUCUGUCUGUGCUCCCUGGAGGCAAAGACUGUGUCUUGUUCGUCUCUGUGUCCUCAGAGGCUGGCACAUGGCAGGGGCUUCAGAAAGACCUAUGGACCCCCAAACCUUACAUCUGAACUUUAUGAAUUUUAUUUGUUUUCUGUAGCAAAAUGUAUGUUUUCUAUUUUUUUAUGAAAAAUCUCCAUUCUCUUUUGGCUGGGAACCUCCCUCUCUGGAGCUCUCCUAUCCCAUUUCCUUUGUGAUCUUCUCUUUUCCAGCCCUGGAGACACACAUGCUGCCCAAAUCCUGAGGCUCUCCCCUCCCCACUUCAGGCAGGUCUGUCUGGAGACGGUCCUUCCUGGGCUCUGCUGCCUGCAGCCUGCCCAGCUGCCCUUCGAAAGCUCAGGCUCCUUCUGUGACGCAGGGGGGCUGUUUAUUCACUCGCUCUGAUGAUAACGCUGCGUGUGCAGCAGGUGGCGGGAAGCUGAUGGAUGGGGAGCGGCCCAGGAAGUGUGUCUCAGCUCCUUCCUUCUCUCCACCUCCUUCUCGGGGAUUCCUAGUUUCUCCCCUAAGACUGUCUUUUUUUCUUCCGAUUUUGCUUGGUUUGAAGAUUUUCUUUCCAACUCAUAUUUGCCAAUUUUAUUCCACCAUUUUAGCUCCUAAUCGGGGUGGCGGGUGAACUGGUCUCCUGUGCUCAGAGUUGGAAUUGGGAUCUACAUUCUGGGGUCCCUUGAUCUCUUUAUUAAUCACAGCCAACUCUUAGAGCUCAUCUGGGCAUGAUUAACAUCAGCUAGAAUGUGAGCGUUGAGUAUGGAUGAGACCCUUGCAGGGGCCUCUAGGGAAACAGAAAAAAUAAAAUGCAAUUCCUGUUCUUCGUGUGUUUACAACUCUGAGGGGAGAGACCACUGUACACAUCCCACUGGGAGGCUGGGGCAGGGGAUAGUUGAUUUGGCUGGUGACAGGAUCCUACAGGUGACGGUGAAGCUGCCUGGGGCUCUACAAGGGAAGGGCUGGAAGGAGAGCAUCCUGGGGCAGAGGAAGCCAUGGUGUGUGUGUCUAGCUGAGCAUGACGCAUAGGCCUGUGGGUGUGCCCACUCAGGUGAGCGUGAUGCAAAGACCCACAGGUGUACACGUCCAGGUGAAAAUGAUGCAAAGGCCCACAGGUGUACACGUCCAGGUGAAAAUGAUGCAAAGGCCCACAGGUGUACAUGUCCAGGCAAGUGUAAUGGGAGCAGCAGGAGCUGGGUCUGGACAGGCAGCAGGGGAUGAGGUGACCCAAGUGUCUUCCUAAUGGAAAGCAAAGCCUGCUCUGGUCAUGGUGUGGGGUGGGGAUUAAACAGAGCUGCAUCAGGAUGGGGUACACAUCUCAGGUGAUCCCUGGAGAGCUUUGAAGGAGACAGAAGGUGGUCAUGAGGCAAGGUGAGUAAAGUGAGGAAGGUGAGGAAGGUGGGAGGAGAAGGCAGAUUCCAGAGACAGGUCUGGCUAGAACCAGCAGGACUCAGGGACAGAGGGGGGAUGGAGCUGAGUGGGAGGCAGUGGCGUUCCUGAGGCCAAAAACAAGGGCCUUGGGAUAGAGCUGGGACACAAGUCCUAGUCACGUGUGUUUAGGAUGAAGUGCAGCUCAGGAGCUUGUGUCCAUGGCGGAGUAACUGGCCAGCCUGGCCCCCACCUCUGCCGUAAACAACUUGGAGCUUGAAUAGAAACCAGGAAACAGCAGUUUUCAGACACUAAGCAGGCAGCACAGGUCUGUGAUUCUAGAGAGAAGGAAACAAACCAGGCUGGGAUCCCAGGCGGCCAGCAGGGGUCAUUUGGUUUGAGUGGGGCCUUGCAGGUUCUGGGGAGCUGAGAGCUGCACAAUUCUCAGAGCUCCCUCAGGGCUGGGGGAUGGCCACGUUCAGAGCAGCCAGGUGGAGAUCAGGUCACACAUGGAGUCGGCUCGGGACCCCUGGAAAUGAGACUGAAAUCCAUGGGACCAGAGUCCCUGUCCCCUGCCUCUGAGAAUGGCCGGGGCUGGGAAGCCAAUGGAGAUGGUCGCGCCUACACUGCUGUCACAUCGGGUGGCAUUGUCAGGGUGACUCACAUGGACACUUAGCAUCUGAGGACAAAUGAGAGUAGAUGUUGGGGUCCUGUACACAAAAGGCACCACAACAGGAGAAUGAGUCCUGUCAUCACUUGACCUGGCUGUCUUUAUUUUAGUUCCAUGCUCUGACACUCCUGACAGCACACGUGUGGCAGUGUGGAAUCAUGAAUGUUAUCUUCCCUGUCCAAGUCCAUCAGGGAAAGACAUAAUAGGUGUGUGGUUGUGGAGCCCAGGUUCCCUGUGGUCCCCCCAUGUGCAAUUAGCAUCUUCUGGUGAUAUCACCAUUUGUCCACAGCACAACCCCUUCCAGAACACCCCUGCCCAUCUUAUGCCGGAGUGGAGCCAAUGAGGCCUCUGAGGCUCCCUGCUAAUUGCUGUUUUUCAUGUGUCCAUGCCUAUGUGGUUUGAACACGAGGAGGGGUUGAAACUGGGGCAGCUGGGCAGGCUGCCUCACCUUUCAAAUAGUGGGACCCUCUUCACAUGUGGGGAACCGCCAGCAUAUCCUUGGCUCAAGUGACUCUGGAGGUCCCAGGAGUAUGAACACUGCUGCAUCCCACUGUUAUCCUGUCUGCUUGUCUGGGGUCUUGCUGAUGAGGG